UCUGACUUCAUCCUCAAUCGCCCCCCACUGAUGGAUGAAAAGGCCGUCAUCGCCCUGCUGCUGAAGGAUGACCUCGGUGACCCCACCAUCGGCUUGGCAGUCUAACUCAAGAAAUGCUGCAGUUCAGGAAUCCACCUGGGUCAACUUUUCAUCUGACUUCAUCCUUAAUCAACCCCACUGACGGAUGGAAAGGCCGUCAUCGCCCUGCUGCUGAUGGAUGACCUCGGUGACCCCACCAUCGGUUUGUCAGUGUAAUUCAAGAAAUGCUGCAGGAAUCCACCUGGGUCAGCUUCUCAUCUGACUUCAUCCUUUAUCACCCCCCACUGAUGGAUGGAAAGGCCGUCAUCGCCCUGCUGCUGAUGGAUGACCUCGGUGACCCUGCCACCACGCUCGGCAGGUUUUCUGGAGGAAACCCUGGAAGCGUUCCCGUGUGAGCAGCCCUACUUCUUCACCUGCCUCUCCCCCUGCUGAUGGAUGACCUCAGUGACCCUACCACAUUGGCUUCUGCAGUCUUCCUCAAGAAAUGCAACAGGAAUCCUCUUGGAUCAUCCUGGACCUUCACCGCCGGAUGGACAAGGCCGUCGUCCCCUGCCGGAUGGAGAAGGCUGUCGUCGCCCCCGCCACCAAUGGAUGGAAAGAAAAUGACAGAACUUGAAACAUUUAACACGAGCUCGGUUUCUUUUCUUUUUUCUACCAAAAACUUAACGA